GACGAACGCUGGCGGCGCGCCUAACACAUGCAAGUCGAACGAGCGAGAGGAGGUUUACUUUCUCAAGCGAGUGGCGAACGGGUGAGUAACGCGUGAGGAACCUGCCUCAAAGAGGGGGACAACAGUUGGAAACGACUGCUAAUACCGCAUAAGCCCACGACCCGGCAUCGGGUAGAGGGAAAAGGAGCAAUCCGCUUUGAGAUGGCCUCGCGUCCGAUUAGCUAGUUGGUGAGGUAAUGGCCCACCAAGGCGACGAUCGGUAGCCGGACUGAGAGGUUGAACGGCCACAUUGGGACUGAGACACGGCCCAGACUCCUACGGGAGGCAGCAGUGGGGAAUAUUGCACAAUGGGGGAAACCCUGAUGCAGCGACGCCGCGUGGAGGAAGAAGGUCUUCGGAUUGUAAACUCCUGUUGUUGAGGAAGAUAAUGACGGUACUCAACAAGGAAGUGACGGCUAACUACGU
rnacentral:rRNA from 1 species